rnacentral:rRNA from 1 species
UAUUGGACAAUGGGCGCAAGCCUGAUCCAGCCAUGCCGCGUGAGUGAUGAAGGCCUCACCCCUCGUAAAGCUCUUUUAGCAGGGAAGAUAAUGACGGUACCUGCAGAAAAAGCCCCGGCUAACUUCGUGCCAGCAGCCGCGGUAAUACGAAGGGGGCUAGCGUUGCUCGGAAUCACUGGGCGUAAAGCGCACGUAGGCGGCUUCUUAAGUCAGGGGUGAAAUCCUGGAGCUCAACUCCAGAACUGCCUUUGAUACUGAGGAGCUAGAGUCCGGGAGAGGUGAGUGGAACUGCGAGUGUAGAGGUGAAAUUCGUAGAUAUUCGCAAGAACACCAGUGGCGAAGGCGGCUCACGGCCCGGUACUGACGCUGAGGUGCGAAA